UGUUGGAAGCUCAGUGGUACAGUGUCUGCUUUGCAUGCAUGCAGAAUGUCCCAGAUUCAAUCCCUGAAUCUCUCAAUAG